rnacentral:rRNA from 1 species
GACGAACGCUGGCGGCGUGCCUAACACAUGCAAGUCGAACGGAAAGGCCCUGCUUUUGUGGGGUGCUCGAGUGGCGAACGGGUGAGUAACACGUGAGUAACCUGCCCUUGACUUUGGGAUAACUUCAGGAAACUGCGGCUAAUACCGGAUAGGAGCUCCUGCUGCAUGGUGGGGGUUGGAAAGUUUCGGCGGUUGGGGAUGGACUCGCGGCUUGUCAGAUUGUUGGUGGGGUAGUGGCUUACCAAGGCUUUGACGGGUAGCCGGCCUGAGAGGGGGACCGGCCCCAUUGGGACUGAGAUACGGCCCAGACUCCUACGGGAGGCAACAGUGGGGAGUAUUGCACAAUGGGCGGAAGCCUGAUGCAGCAACGCCGCGUGCGGGAUGACGGCCUGCGGGUUGGAAACCGCUUUCGCCUGGGACGAAGCGUGAGUGACGGUAAUGGGUAAAGAAGCACCGGCUAACUACGUG